rnacentral:rRNA from 1 species
UACGUAGGGUGCAAGCGCUAAUCGGAAUUACUGGGCGUAAAGCGUGCGCAGGCGGUUCCGCAAGUCAGAUGGGAAAUCCCCGGGCUCAACCUGGGAACUGCAUUUGAAACUACGGGGCUAGAGUGUGUCAGAGGGGGGUGGAAUUCCACGUGUAGCAGUGAAAUGCGUAGAGAAGUGGAGGAACACCAAUGGCGAAGGCAGCCCCCUGGGAUGACACUGACGCUCAUGCACGAAAGCGUGGGGAGCAAACAGG